UGUCUGGGGCCCUGCAGG
rnacentral:miRNA from 1 species